GAAGCUUGCUUCUUUGCUGACGAGUGGCGGACGGGUGAGUAAUGUCUGGGAAACUGCCUGAUGGAGGGGGAUAACUACUGGAAACGGUAGCUAAUACCGCAUAACGUCGCAAGACCAAAGAGGGGGACCUUCGGGCCUCUUGCCAUCGGAUGUGCCCAGAUGGGAUUAGCUAGUAGGUGGGGUAACGGCUCACCUAGGCGACGAUCCCUAGCUGGUCUGAGAGGAUGACCAGCCACACUGGAACUGAGACACGGUCCAGACUCCUACGGGAGGCAGCAGUGGGGAAUAUUGCACAAUGGGCGCAAGCCUGAUGCAGCCAUGCCGCGUGUAUGAAGAAGGCCUUAGGGUUGUAAAGUACUUUCAGCGGGGAGGAAGGGAGUAAAGUUAAUACCUUUGCUCAUUGACGUUACCCGCAGAAGAAGCACCGGCUAACUCCGUGCCAGCAGCCGCGGUAAUACGGAGGGUGCAAGCGUUAAUCGGAAUUACUGGGCGUAAAGCGCACGCAGGCGGUUUGUUAAGUCAGAUGUGAAAUCCCCGGGCUCAACCUGGGAACUGCAUCUGAUACUGGCAAGCUUGAGUCUCGUAGAGGGGGGUAGAAUUCCAGGUGUAGCGGUGAAAUGCGUAGAGAUCUGGAGGAAUACCGGCGGCGAAGGCGGCCCCCUGGACGAAGACUGACGCUCAGGUGCGAAAGCGUGGGGAGCAACCAGG
rnacentral:rRNA from 1 species